rnacentral:lncRNA from 1 species
UGCAGCAUCAACGCCUAAGGCACCCAACAACAGCCCGUCAGCAACCUCAAAAAUAUUCGAGCUUCUCUCAGAUUGCUGAGAUAGAGAGCUAUUCCGCUCUACCAGAUGUCCCAAUCGAGCUUCAGCCGUCUGACCCAAACUCUCUGGCAAGUCACGACAACGGACAUUACUCCACUCUCUGUAACAAACUCCACGUGGCCCCACCAUUCUCUGGCAAGUCGCGACAACGGACACCACUCCACUCUCUGUAACAAACUCCAUGUGGCUCCGAACGGCCCACUGACACC